GAUGAAGAACGUAGUGAAAUGCGAUAAGUAAUGUGAAUUGCAGAAUUCAGUGAAUCAUCGAAUCUUUGAACGCACAUUGCGCCCAUUAGCAUUCUAGUGGGCAUGCCUGUUCGAGCGUCAUUUCAACCCUUAAGCCCUGUUGCUUAGCGUUGGGAGCCUACAGUACUGUAGCUCCCCAAAGUUAGUGGCGGAGUCGGUUUCACACUCUAGACGUAGUAAAUUUUUCUCGUCUGUAGUUGAGCCGGUCCCCUGCCGUAAAACACCCAAUUUAUCAAGGUUGACCUCGGAUCAGGUAGGAAUACCCGCUGAACUUAAGCAUAUCAAUAAGCGGAGGA
rnacentral:misc_RNA from 1 species